GAUGAACGCUGGCGGCGUGCCUAAUACAUGCAAGUCGAGCGAACAGACGAGGAGCCUGCUCCUCUGACGUUAGCGGCGGACGGGUGAGUAACACGUGGAUAACCUACCUAUAAGACUGGGAUAACUUCGGGAAACCGGAGCUAAUACCGGAUAAUAUAUUGAACCGCAUGGUUCAAUAGUGAAAGACGGUUUUGCUGUCACUUAUAGAUGGAUCCGCGCCGCAUUAGCUAGUUGGUAAGGUAACGGCUUACCAAGGCAACGAUGCGUAGCCGACCUGAGAGGGUGAUCGGCCACACUGGAACUGAGACACGGUCCAGACUCCUACGGGAGGCAGCAGUAGGGAAUCUUCCGCAAAGGGCGAAAGCUUGACGGAGCAACGCCGCGUGAGUGAUGAAGGUCUUCGGAUCGUAAAACUCUGCUAUUAGGGAAGAACAAAUGUGUAAGUAACUAUGCACGUCUUGACGGUACCUAAUCAGAAAGCCACGGCUAACUACGUG
rnacentral:rRNA from 1 species